rnacentral:misc_RNA from 1 species
ACCCCUUUUGAUUUGGGACCCCAUGCAGGCGCAUUAACAUCCAUUCCUUCAUCUAGUAAUCGUUUCACCUCUUUGAGAUCACCUUUUCGAGCACCGAUAUGAAGCAAUGUCCAACCGCGAUCAUCCCUAUCAACCCUUGACCUAAAACUCCGUCUUUUAGACAAAUUACGCGGCAACAAAAUUGAAACGGGUUCGAAACGCUCCUGGGGCAUACUUUUUUUUCUCUUCCUUCCAAUUUAUCAAUCACAGAUCAAAAACAAUCACCAACACGCAAUCUUUGAGGAAAAACUCAACAAUUAAAAACCCUAAAAUUUUGAGAAGGUUUAGAAGGUGACGAUGGAGAAAAAACCAAAAAUUUACAUGUUUUAUUUAUUGAAGAUGCGAAAUUAGCGAGAAGCACAGGAAUGAUUGGCAAUGCAAUAAGGAGCAAAUGGAUUCAAACCGGGUCCAAAAACACGGAGAUUUUGAAAGAUGACGACGGAAACGACAGGGGAGGAUGAAGAGAUUAUGAACAUAAUUUCUUAUUUUUCAAAAAAACAAACCCUAAUUUCGUCGAUGAUUAGAGUAUAUAAGGAACCGAUUACNNNCGAUUACACAAAACUUAAGUGAUUAGAGAAAUCCAGGUCUGAUAUGGAGAGAGUUUGAAGGAAACAUAAAGGACGAUACACCGGAAACCCUAAAAUCAGAGAAAGAGAAGGGUUC